rnacentral:tRNA from 1 species
UCCCUGGUGGUCCAGUGGUUAGGACUCUGUGCUUCCACUGCAGGGGGCACAGGGUUCGAUCCCUGGUUGGGGAA